rnacentral:lncRNA from 1 species
GUGCAUGGGGGAAACUAAAAGGCAAUUGAAAAAGCACUGAGCUCAAAUGUUGUGAAAGAAAAAUACAUGAGAAAAAGAAAAGAAAAGAAGAAAAGCAUGAAGAUGGGCUCAAUGCAAAAGAAAAGGGAAAAAGUUGGGAAUAAGUGAGAUUGGUGAGGAUGAGAGUUGUGCUUAAAUGCUGAAUACUAUGAUAGCUCUCCUAACUCAAGAAUUUUGCAUUCCAGAAAAAGCAAUUCUUCUUGUUAGCCCAGCCUCAUUACAAGCCUUGGAAAAGUCCUUUUGAUGGCAUUUGCAUGUAAGGAUUUUGCUUGUCUUAGAUGAAUGGCAAUUUUAUUUCAUGUGACUUGUGAAUGAUAGAGUGUUGGAGUGUUACCUCAAACACUUGAGUGAUU